UAGCAUAUCAAUAAGCGGAGGAAAAGAAACCAACAGGGAUUACCUCAGUAACGGCGAGUGAAGCGGUAACAGCUCAAAUUUGAAAUCUGGCCUCACGGUCCGAGUUGUAAUUUGUAGAGGAUGCUUCGAGCAUGGUCUGGCCUAAGUUCCUUGGAACAGGACGUCAUAGAGGGUGAGAAUCCCGUAUGCGGCCAGGUGCCUACGCUCAUGUGAAGCUCCUUCGACGAGUCGAGUUGUUUGGGAAUGCAGCUCAAAAUGGGUGGUAAAUUUCAUCUAAAGCUAAAUAUUGGCCAGAGACCGAUAGCGCACAAGUAGAGUGAUCGAAAGAUGAAAAGCACUUUGGAAAGAGAGUUAAACAGUACGUGAAAUUGUUGAAAGGGAAGCGCUUGCAACCAGACUUGCGCGCGGCCGAUCAUCCGGUGUUCUCACCGGUGCACUCGGCCGUGCUCAGGCCAGCAUCGGUUUUGGCGGCUGGAUAAAGGCCCUAGGAAUGUAGCUCCUCUCGGGGAGUGUUAUAGCCUAGGGUGCAAUGCAGCCUGCUGGGACCGAGGACCGCGCUUCGGCUAGGAUGCUGGCGUAAUGGUUGUAAGCGGCCCGUCUUGAAACACGGACCAAGGAGUCUAACAUCUAUGCGAGUGUUUGGGUGUCAAACCCAUACGCGUAAUGAAAGUGAACGGAGGUGAGAACCCUUAAGGGUGCAUCAUCGACCGGUCCUGAAGUUUACGGAAGGAUCUGAGUAAGAGCAUAGCUGUUGGGACCCGAAAGAUGGUGAACUAUGCCUGAAUAGGGUGAAGCCAGAGGAAACUCUGGUGGAGGCUCGCAGCGGUUCUGACGUGCAAAUCGAUCGUCAAAUUUGGGUAUAGGGGCGAAAGACUAAUCGAACCAUCUAGUAGCUGGUUCCUGCCGA
rnacentral:rRNA from 1 species